rnacentral:snRNA from 1 species
UACGCACGACUCUCUUCAUCCCAUAUAAAUCUUUCGCCUUUUACUAAAGAUUUUUGUGGAGAGGUGAUAGUGAUGAGUUCAUGGUAUUUUUGGAGGCUCUGCCCAAGCAGAGCC